GUAAGCAAACUGUCGGCACCACUGGCAGCAUUGGUUGGGUUGUCAACAAGCGGCACCGUGUGUGACCACCUUUUCUGUUGUAAACAUAUUGAAAACGUUUCCCUCGCAUUGUGUGCAUUAGAAAUUUAAGUGGCCGCGAUUUGCAGUUUUCUCGGAUUAUUUCCCGCAUGAGAAGUAUCACUCGGUGAAGUUUAAGUUGUCCAUUUUAUUCCUGAAACCGUAAGUUGCCUUUUGAUACUUUUUGUUAGGGUAUUAUUUGCUAACUAGCGAUUCAAUAUUGUUCGAACAGUGAUCCCACCAUUCCGAACCCACGCGAUUUGUAGGCAAUCGUUACUUUGCCAGAUUGCUUCGUCAAACGUAAGUUGUCUUGAUUCACAUGAUUGUUACGAUAGAUUGAUGAUAGUUAACGAUUUUGUAACAGUGAUACCGUUCCGAUACCACUCGAUUUCGGCAGCACUCGACAAAUAGUCUGACAGAAAUUUAGAGCAUUGCUGACCGUAAGUUCCUUUUACUUUUUGACUGAAAGUGAAAUUCGAUCUUAAUAGUUUGUUUAAUGUUUCAUGUUUAGUGAUAUCCUCAUCCGGUCCGGAUAGACUCGGAAUCGAAAACGAGUAGUUAAGCGUAGGCAACUUUCUCGCACUAAAAUGUAAGUGUGAUCGAUUUCAAAAAUGUAAAUUUGUACUAAAACAAAACUGUAUUUUAGCUUUGAAGCUGCGUAAUAAAAACACUGCUCUCGAAAUUUAGUGUCGAGCCCAUUUGAAGUAACAUUCUUCAAAGAUUUUAUCAAAAAUGAUGAGUGGUGUCGGAAAAGCUGAUGGUCGACGAAAAAGAAGUUCGAGAAAAUCGCGUGCAUCGAAGGUAGACGACUCUAACCUGACUCACUGCCAGGUUUGCGACAAAUCGGAGUCGUUUGAUGACAUGUGCCAAUGCGAUACUUGCUCAACCUGGUGGCACUAUGGCUGUGCUGGUGUUGGCGCAUCAAUAGAGGACCGGGAUUGGGAAUGCCGGAACUGUAUCCUCCGGAAGAAAGCCCCUAGCGUUAACAGCAAGAUAUCCGUAUCCAGCCGAGCGGAUUCGUUGCGCCGGAUGCGUGAACGACAGGAACUCGAGCUCCAGCGAGUGGCGCUGGAUAUGCGACAACGUUUCCUGGACGAGCAGGAUGCGCUGAUGAAGGAAACCAGUUCUAACCCGAGGGAACAUGGCAAACAACGAACGGCAGAGUGGGUGGCACACGUGGACCCAAUUGCUGGUGCAGUGGGUGGCGAACCUGCUCCUCCAACAGCUGCGGAUGCUGCGGCGUUGCGAGACGGAAUGUCACAAUGCUUCGUGGCGAUGCAGCUACAAAUUCAACAGUGUGCAAAUGAGCACCAACCGACGCAAGCACAGCUGAUGAGUCUUCGGAACCAACUUCAGCAGUGCGAAGAAUUGUUUUCAACUUUAACAACCGGGGGAACGAACGACGUUCUUUUGGUAGGUGCCCAGCCGGGUUCUGAGCGGCGACAGCUCGCACUACCGGCAGCAAGUAGCAACAUGGCGGCCAAGCAGACAGGUCAACAUGCUUUGACGUCACUCACCAGGACAGUGCCGAAAAGGAAAUCGGUAACCAUCGAAGCUCCUGAGUUAGAGGGAAGUAUUGGACCACUUGGUAAGUGUCAAGCCUUUGAUUAUGCUACAAAUAUUAAAAGCCCCACAACAUAUGAAUCAGCCUUGGUAAUUGGGCAGCAGCGAAACCAUGUCGCGCCCCCAGAACCCCUCAUUUUAGAGCAGCAGCGCAAUAUGGUCGCGCGCUCCACCCAUACAAAUGUGACCAAUUUUGAACCCCACUAUCAAUCUACAUUUUUUAACGCGGAGACUGCACAUCGGCAACAUUUUUAUGAAAAUCCUAGUCCAUUGACAGAGAUGGUUCAGCAGUCCGUGUCUAGUUUUGCAGAUGUUCCCUCAAAAAUAGCGUAUCAGCCUUCCGCACCAACAGUUGCACAACCUUUGCCCUCACAAUCGAGAGUGUCGCAGCAAUUUAUGCAUGAACAGCUAACGCAUCCGCUGCCCAAUUUGGUGCCUCAUGCUAAGCAACAUAAUUUUGUACCAACUAUGCCACCUUUGACGUCUUUGCCCAUUACGACGUGUCAGCCAACACAAAUCCACCAAACCUCCCAGUCAAAUGAACACGUUUUGCCCCAGUCAAUCCCGCGAAGUGAUGGAACCAGAGUUCAGUGUAUUCCAAGGAACGAUUUCGGUGCGCCGACGAGCUUGACGCCCCAGCAGUUAGCAGCCAGGCAGUCGUUUUCACGGGAUUUGCCUUACUUUUCCGGUGAUCCAGCGGAGUGGCCGAUAUUCAUCGCAAACUACGAAUACACCACGGCGGUAUGCGGUUUCUCAAAUGGCGAAAACAUGCUGCGUUUACAAAGAUGCUUGAAGGGACCAGCUUUGGAGGUGGUGAGGAGUAGUUUAGUUCUUCCGGCCACAAUACCCCAUGUGAUCGAAACGUUGCGGUUGCGGUACGGGAGGCCAGAUUUGUUGAUCAACAACCUGCUGCAGAAAGUGCGAGCGAUUCCGGUACAUCGAGUGGACAAGCUGGAAUGGCUGAUGGAAUACGGAACAGCCGUACAAGCGCUGUGUCACCACAUCGAGGCAGCCAAUGAGUUUGACCAGUUAUCCAAUCCUCAACUGCUGCAAGAGUUGAUUGCUAAAUUACCGGAUGAUCAGAAACUGCUGUGGGCUACCUAUCGUCGUAACCUGUCUGUGGUGAAUUUGAAGACCUUCGGAGAAUACAUGGCCGGAAUCGUCCGGGAUGCAGCGAGUGUUAUUCCAUUCAAAACUGAGCAGCAUAAUACAGGCAAUCGUGAGAAGCACAAGUACAGAGGGUUUGUGAACUCUCACUAUUCAUCGCCCGAACAACAUAAUCUAGGGAAGAACAAGGUGGAAGCACAGAUGGAGAAGCAGAAGAAUUCCGAAGUCUUGGAAUGUGUUUGCUGUGGGAAGAACGGUCAUCGAGUUCGGGAUUGUUACAAAUUCAAGGCCCUUUCGGUUUCCGAGCGUUGGAAACUCACUCGUGACCGGCAUCUUUGUUUUUCGUGCUUGUGCAACCAUGGUAGGCGUCCUUGCAGAAGUGGCAUCAAAUGUGAUAUCGUUGGCUGUAAAUAUCGACAUAAUCCGUUACUACAUUCUGCGACGGAAAAAAGCUCAACAGAGACUGUCGAAAACCACACUCACCGCUUUCAAGAUUCAGAAACACUCUUCCGUAUUGUGCCUGUUACGGUGUACGGAAAGUCUGAGACGGUGGAUACUUUUGCUUUCUUAGAUGAAGGAUCGGAUGUGACGCUCGUGGAGGACGGUCUUGCGAAACAGCUGGGAUUGAGUGGAAGUCUUCAACCUCUCUGCUUACGCUGGACAGGGAAUGCAUCGCGAGUGGAGCACGAUUCACGCAUAAAGCUUAGUUCUUUUAGAAAUGGGACAGUUACGAAUGCGUGUAUCUCAAAAACCAUUCGUUUGAUCGAAAUACUUUCUAUGAAGAAAAUGAAGGUGAUGUUAUAAUAUUUCAUGAAAAAAAUUGAAAAAAAUUAUUUAUCGUUUUUUGUAAGAGAAAUGUCUGAUUUUUGCUUGGUAUCUCCCUUUAGCCGGCGCACACUUUUUUCACUCAUGAUAUUGAUCAGUUUUUCCAACUUAUACUUCGUCAAAUCUAUAUUUUAGGUGGCUUCACCCUCCUCCUUCAAUUUCUGAUACUUUUCGGUCCAAUACUUCUCUUUUGAAAGAAGCUGAAAGCAAUUUAGUGGAUAAAGUUGUUUCGAAAUGAACAAAUUUGAUCAUUUAUGACCACAUUUUUUAGCGUUUUAAUGGAAUUUCUGCUGGUAAAAUCUGACAAUAACGGAGUAAAACCAUCAUGAGAUUGAAUUUGAAGAAGAAUAAUCGGUUAAUAUAAAUCGUAGGAUGUGAAUGGUACAUACAAGAUAACUCUUUUUAGGCUUAAAAAACGGCAAAAACCAAAGUUUUUUUUUUAUUUUUUUUUUGUUUUUUUUUUCAGGAGCAGAAUAUUGGCAAAUUAUUAUAAUUUUAUACCAAAUAACCAGCAAAAACAUACUUUAAUUACUCGGGACCUUGCCACUAGCAAACAUGGUACAGCAUUUAAACGCUGGAAUUUGUUUAAAAUAGGGUAUUUCAUAAGUUUUGUCGUUCAUUAGAAAUCAUCUGUCCCAUAGCCUCGGUACCGGCUUUACAACUUACGAGCUCUGCAACUAGCAAAAAUUGUUGUUAGAGGUUAGAUUUGAAUGACUCAUCACAAGGCAACACUUUCAGCUUAUCGGAGAAAAUUGUUUUGGAAAUUUCAGCGAUCUAUCCUAAGUUUUUCUCUUAUUGAAAAUUAAAAAUGCUGGUAUGAGACUAGACUUCCCUGAUGACCCUCAACCGUAGUUGCCGAUCAUGUGCUUCACUCCAAUGUUUGAUUUGAACUUUGUAGACAUUAUUGACAGUGUUUGCAUACUUAUCCACCACACUAACUCAGUAGUUCUUUGAAUAAUCAACGGUUUUGUCAGCAAUCAAUUGGAUAAUGACGGAUUUCGAAGGAAACUGUGCAAAAUAAUUUUUUUCUUUUUUUCUUGCAUCGCAAAUAUCUCUACAACGCGUAAAUUUUAAAUUUUGAAAAAAAUAGGUCGAAUAGUACUUUUUACAGGCAACAAAAUGCAGUCAAAAUUUUGAAUAUCCGAUUACUAGUAAACGAGCUAUUAGCAGAUGAAAGUGUCCCAUUUCUAAAAGAACUAAGCUUUAGUCAGCUUCGAGAUUUCGGGUCCCGAUAAAGAGAACCGGUACGUAUUACCAAACGCUCGGACAGUGGGAUGUUUGAACUUAACGAAGCAGAGUUUCCAGGCAGAGGCGGCAGCGUUGAAGUACAAAUACCUCCGUGGACUUCCGUUAACCAGCUACAAUAACGCCAAGCCGCAGAUACUCAUCGGGAUUGAUAAUCUUCGUCUGGCGGUACCCCUGAAAACAAGAGAAGGAGAUGGCUCCGGGCCUAUCGCGACAAAAACGCGGCUUGGAUGGUGCGUUUAUGGUCGACGCAGUGGAAGCAGCAGUACAUCCAUCAACUUUCACAGCUGCAAGUGUACAGCAGAUGAAUCGCCCAACAUCCUGGUGACUGACAACGUUGAAACAGCGAUAUCUGAGCCGCAAUUGGAAGAGGAUGUUCGAGCUCUGGCCAUUAUGGAGCAAACCACGAAGCGUGUUGGCGAUCGCUUCGGGACAGGUCCACUGAGGGUACACGACGACGUUGUCCUCCCUGUUAGUGACGGAAUGGCCAAGCGGCGCUUAGAAUGCCCCGAAAGAAGAAUGUCCUGUGAAAAAAAGCUUAAUGAAAAUCCGAAACUGAAACCGGCCAUCAAUGAGCACCUUCAGCUGGAAGUCUACCCGGGGGAGAACGCUGCUUUCCGAGAAGGUGUUAACGUUACAGAAAGAAGAUCGCUCACUCAACGUGUAUCAUUUCUCGACGGGAAAGUAAUGCUCCGGAACAAUUGCCGAAUUGUUUCAGGCCUCCAUAUCAUGACUCAACGUAUUGGUCGAAGCUGUAUGGCCGUGCGAGCCGUGCAUUUUGAGGCGGUGUCCUCACACUUCACAACUUUCUAUGUUCUUGCAGUCGGACGGUUUGUGAGACACCGCGGUGCACCGGCAACAUUCUUUAGCAGCAACGGGACGAACUACGUUGGGGCGUCAAGAUUACUUCAGCAGCAGAUCAACCGAGGGCUCUUUAACACUCUCACGAAUAUCGAAUGGAAGUUUAAUCAUCUGGGGGCACCACACAAAGGGGGUGUGUGGGAAAGGCUGGUGAGAUCUGUCAAGGUGGUAAUUGAAGAUGGGUACUCUGAGCGUAAACUAGACGACGAGGGGCUUAAUACUUUGAUAGUGGAGGCAGAAAGCAUAAUCAAUUCAAGGCCUCUGACCUACCUUCCCCUAGAUUCCGCUGAAUUUGAAGCACUUACUCCGAACCACUUUUUGUUGGGGAGUUCCAACGGUAUUAAACAACCCGCAGUUCCAAUUGCAAAACAACGGAACCUUCGGGAUACAUGGGGUCUUAUUCAACGGGAACUCGAUAUCUUCUGGAGAUGCUGGACGAAGGAGUACCUUUCUAUCUUACGGCGGCAGGACAAGUGGUUCCAAGACGCGGAACCGAUUGAAGUUGGCAGCUUGGUAUUGAUCGCGGACCCAAGGACCCGCAACGGCUGGGUACGAGGACGUGUGGUGGAGAUAUUCGUCGGAUCCGAUGGCCAGGCCCGUACAGCAGUGGUGGAGACGGCGAAUGGUGUGUUGAAGCGAGCGGUCCAUUACCUAGCCCGACUGGACGUGAGUAGCGGAAAUGGUCAAAGCAGUGCAGUCUCAGGGACUGCUGAGAUGCACCCGGGGGAGGAUGUCGGCACCACUGGCAGCAUUGGUUGGGUUGUCAACAAGCGGCACCGUGUGUGACCACCUUUUCUGUUGUAAACAUAUUGAAAACGUUUCCCUCGCAUUGUGUGCAUUAGAAAUUUAAGUGGCCGCGAUUUGCAGUUUUCUCGGAUUAUUUCCCGCAUGAGAAGUAUCACUCGGUGAAGUUUAAGUUGUCCAUUUUAUUCCUGAAACCGUAAGUUGCCUUUUGAUACUUUUUGUUAGGGUAUUAUUUGCUAACUAGCGAUUCAAUAUUGUUCGAACAGUGAUCCCACCAUUCCGAACCCACGCGAUUUGUAGGCAAUCGUUACUUUGCCAGAUUGCUUCGUCAAACGUAAGUUGUCUUGAUUCACAUGAUUGUUACGAUAGAUUGAUGAUAGUUAACGAUUUUGUAACAGUGAUACCGUUCCGAUACCACUCGAUUUCGGCAGCACUCGACAAAUAGUCUGACAGAAAUUUAGAGCAUUGCUGACCGUAAGUUCCUUUUACUUUUUGACUGAAAGUGAAAUUCGAUCUUAAUAGUUUGUUUAAUGUUUCAUGUUUAGUGAUAUCCUCAUCCGGUCCGGAUAGACUCGGAAUCGAAAACGAGUAGUUAAGCGUAGGCAACUUUCUCGCACUAAAAUGUAAGUGUGAUCGAUUUCAAAAAUGUAAAUUUGUACUAAAACAAAACUGUAUUUUAGCUUUGAAGCUGCGUAAUAAAAACACUGCUCUCGAAAUUUAGUGUCGAGCCCAUUUGAAGUAACACAAACUGUUGUAAAAAAAAACAAAAAGAGUUUGGCUCCUUAAAGCCUAAAGGUAUGAGCCGUUUCAAAUAAAGAAUUUAAAAAAAAAAAAGGUAGUAGAAUUAGGUUUGCCCCAAAAAACUCUCCCAAAAAACUGUUCUCCGCUUGAAGGGCAAGUUCAGCAUAUUGACAAGCUGUUAUUUCUUCACAAACUUGAGUUGCCAAUAUUGAACUCAGGUUUGGGAGGUGGGAGUUCUCAAGUUUGGGUAUUUUUGUUUUUCAGUGUUACAAAAAAGUAACUGUUGAGUUUUUAAUUUUUACCGUGUAGUUUAAUUUCGCCUCGCCUGCAACUGCAAUGGCGAAAAAUAGAAGGCCUCGGCUCUUGGUCGUUUUCCUUCGUCGUUUUCGUCCAUUCUUGAAAAGUGUGUCACUGUGUUCAGUACGUUGCUAGUGAAUUUUCCAGAUUUUGUUAAAAAGGAAAUAUUGGUUUGUUCCUAAUUAGAGUCGUUUGGAUACGUCAAUUAACUGCCAUCUUUGUUGACGUCAUCCAGAGUGCUAGCGCUACGCAGCAAGGAAAUAUUUUCUUGCUAUAAGCAUUUUCAUCUCCGUGAGAUGAGUUGUGCUGUCCUAAGCGAUACAGUAAGUACAGUGUUCUCUACCAGUUGCAUGAACCCGCAAGAAAAGUCUGGUUCGGCGCCUCAUUCGAACAGCGGUUUCUCCGGGGACAAUCCGUUCGGGAUGGCGUACCAACAGUAUGCUCAAUACUGUAACGCGUAUUAUCAGCAGUUGCAAUUCCAAAACGG